UUUUUUUCUCCCCUUUUCCCAGAAAGAAUAAUGCUCAGAGUGAAGUCUGCACCGGGAGUGUUGUUCCAUGUGAAGCACCAUGACUCAGAGCAGCUUUGGGUGUACAUGAGGAGCUGUGACCUAAUGAGGCACUGUGCAACUCAUAACCACAUGAAGAAAUACGAAGCUCCACGCUCAGCCUCUUUAAAACAAGCUGCUAAGUGCUGCAGAGCUUCAGGAGUACACAACUGAUGAGCACGGAGCAUCUGUGGCAAAGGAAAAAAACACCGUCUUCAAAUUUUGAGGAGCAAACAUGACCCUUUCUGUUUCUACUGAUUUCCACCCACAUUCAGUUAGUGCGAGAGAAGGAGGAAAAUGA